AAGAAAUUGGACAGAACAGAGUAAUAUGAAGCAGGAUCACAAAAGAAAAAACACCUUUGGCUUUCAUAUUCUAUUUAUGAGGACACAUCUGUUGUUUGUUUGAUUACUGUUUACUGAGCCUUAAACCAAGUUUAUAGCUACAAUUUUAUUUUUCUAAGGUACUAAUUAGCUUAAACACAGGGCUAUAAAGUACUGGAUUGAAAAUUUUAUAUUGUAAUAUAUAGAUAAAAGCGAUAGGAGAAACAGAUUACUUAUGUCCAGUCAUUAUACCUGCUAUCCUUUAUAACCUUAGUGAGUAGUUGAUAAAUUAUAAAAUUUUUUAAAGUCAAAUCACAGUUCUGGAAAUAGAUUUAAAGAAUAUGAAGUUCUAGCUAGUACCUGAGCAACUGAAUUUCUUUUCUACACAUUGAUGGACUUUUAAUAUUUUAUUUUCAUUUAAUGUAAACCUCAUUUAGAGUAUAUACAAAUUAAAACUGAGACACAUUGGCUUUGUAAAUCAGUAUGUUUUUACAUAAUGGUUUUGUUAGAUUUAUUUUUCCAUCAGUGAAAAAACAUUUCUUAAACACAAAUUUCAUUUCCAUUUAAGCAAUUUGUAAGCAAAGUCCAGGUCCGCUUAGUUUUUGGAUAUAUUUAAUGCUUGUCUCUGAAGUUUGUCUUCAUCUGCUUUAAGAUACUGUCUUUCCAUGUUUUAAAUGUAUGAUUAUAUAUCACAUAUUAGUUGUUUAAUAAGAGGUAAUACCCAUCUAGGAAAGGAAUUUUAUAAAGUUAAAUACAAGUCUUGAAUAGUACAUUCAAGGGAUACCAAAAAUAAAUAUUGCCCCUGGUAUGAGUCCAUCCUGAGCGGCUGUUUUUUGAGCAGUGGUCGCUUAUCUCCGUCCGCCUUCUCUUCCACCUAAGUGCGUGUCGCCACCCGAUGGAAGAUUCGAUGGACAUGGACAUGAGCCCCCUGAGGACCCAGAACUAUCUUUCUGGUUGUGAACUAAAGGCCGACAAAGAUUAUCACCUUAAGGUGGAUAAUGAUGAAAAUGAGCACCAAUUAUCUUUAAGAACGGUCAGUUUAGGAGCUGGUGCAAAGGACGAGUUGCACAUUGUUGAAGCAGAGGCAAUGAAUUACGAAGGCAGUCCAAUUAAAGUAACACUGGCAACUUUGAAAAUGUCUGUACAGCCAACGGUUUCCCUUGGGAGCUUUGAAAUAACACCACCAGCGGUCUUACGAUUGAAGUGUGGUUCAGGGCCAGUGCAUGUCAGUGGACAGCACUUAGUAGCUGUGGAGGAAGAUGCAGAGUCAGAAGAUGAGGAGGAGGAUGUGAAACUCUUAAGUAUGUCUGGAAAGCGGUCUGCUUCUGGAGGUGGUAGCAAGUUUCCACAGAAAAAAGUAAAACUUGCUGCUGAUGAAGAUGAUGAUGAUGGUGAUUUUGAUGAUGAGGAAACUGAAGAAAAAGUGCCAGUGAAGAAAUCUAUAUGCGAUACUCCAGCCAAAAAUGCACAAAAGUCAAAUCAGAAUGGAAAAGACUCAAAACCAUCAUCAACACCAAGAUCAAAAGGACAAGAAUCCUUCAAGAAACAGGAAAAAACUCCUAAAACACCAAAAGGACCUAGUUCUGUAGAAGACAUUAAAGAAAAAAUGCAAGAAAUUAUAGAAAAAGGUGGUUCUCUUCCCAAAGUGGAAGCCAAGUUCAUCAAUUAUGUGAAGAAUUGCUUCUGGAUGACUGACCAGGAGGCUAUUCAAGAUCUCUGGCAGUGGAGGAAGUCUCUCUAAGAAAAUAAACAGUUUGUUAAAAAUUUUCCGUCUUGUUUCAUUUCUGUAACAGUUGAUAUCUGGCUGUCCUUUUUAUAAUGCGGAGUGAGAAUUUUCCCUACCGUGUUUGAUAAAUGUUGUCCAGAUUCCAUUGCCAAGAAUGUGUUGUCCAAAAUGCCUGUAGUUUUAAAAGAUGGAACUCCACCCUUUGUUUUAGGUAUGUGUGGAAUGUUAUGAUAGGACAUAGUAGUGGUGCUGGUCAGACAUGGAAAUGGUGGGGAGACAAACAUAUACAUGUGAAAUAAAACUCAGUAUUUUAAUAAAGUAAA